rnacentral:lncRNA from 1 species
GUGCAGAGUGAGUGGAAGCCCCAUGAACAUCCAAGGCCGCUGGGGUUUCAAAAAGGACCAAAGGAAGGCCGGCCUCUGAAGGGACACCCAGACUAACUCCCAACCAAUAGUACUUUCUGAAGGACAGCGUGCACAGUCCCUGCAAUUCUGCAGCACUGUGGUAUUCAGUAUUGGUUGUAUUAUUCUGCUUAUCUACAAAAGAAAACGGAAAACCAAUUACCUACUCGAGUGUACCUUUUCUGAGAAGGCAAAGGAGUGACUCACUCAGUGACGUGAGACACUUAGGUCAGACCAUGACACCAUCACCAGGUGGUGGACCUGUGGUUACCAGAGGCUACUACACAUUCAAGCCACACAGGAGUAGACAAGGGGCUGAGGACCUGGUGGCUG